rnacentral:ncRNA from 1 species
GUCUUGGUCGGAAACCAAGACAAUAAAAAGGAG